UUCCAUUCCAAAGGAGUAUAUUCCACUCCAUUGUCUUUGUAUCCAUUCCAUUCCAUUACAUUCUAUUCCAUUCAUGUCGAUUCCAUUCCAUUCCCUUUCAUUCCAUUAAAUUUCAUUACCUUACAUUACGUUACAUUACAUUACAUUACAUUACAUUACAUUACAUUACAUUACAUUACAUUCGGGUCCUUUCUAUUCCAUUUCCUUCGAGUCUAUUCCAUUCCAUUGCAUUCCAAUCAAGUCCAUUCAAUUCCAUUCCAUUUCAUUCGAUUCCAUUCCAUUGUAUUCCCUUCGAAUCCAUUGCAUUCCAUUCCAUUAGAGUCCAUUCCAUUAAAUCACAUUCUGUUCCUUUCAAGUCCAUUCCAUUCCACUCCAACGUACUCAAGUCAUUUCAAUUCCAUUCGAGUCCAUUCCUUUCCAUUCCAUUCCAUUCCACUGGAUUCUAUUCCAUUCCAUUCCAUUCCAUUCCAUUCCAUUCCAUUCCAUUCGGGUCCAUUCCAUUUCAUUCGAUUCCACUCCGUUCCCUUCCAUUCCAUUCGAGUCCAUUUCAUUCCAUUCCAUUCCUUUCAGAUCUAUUCAAUUCAACUACAUUCCAUUCAAAUUCAUUCCAUUCCAUUCCAUUCCAUUCCAUUCCAUUCCAUUCCAUUCGAUUUGGGUCCAUUCGAUUCCAUUCCAUUCAUGUCCAUUCUAUUCCAUUCGAGUCCAUUCCAUUCCAUUAAUUUUGGUUUCAUUCCAUUCCAUUCCAUUCAAUUCCGUUAGAGUCCAUUCCAUUCCAUUCCAUACCAUUCCAUUCCAUUCCAUUUCAUUCCAUUCCGUGCCUUGCAAUUCCAUUCGAUUCCAUUCCAUUCGGGUCCAUUCAAUUCCAUUCCAUUAGGGUCCAUUCCAUUCCAUUCCACUCCAUUCGGGUCAAUUCCAUUCCGUUCCAUUCCAUUCGAUUCCAUUUCUUUCCAUUCCAUUCCAUUAAAUUCGGGUUAAUUCAAUUCCCUUCCAUUCGAGUCCAUUCCAUUCCAUUCCGUUCCAUUCCAUUCCAUUCCACUCCACUCGAUUCCAUUCCACUUGAAUCAAUUCC
rnacentral:lncRNA from 1 species